rnacentral:rRNA from 1 species
GACGAACGCUGGCGGCGUGCCUAAUACAUGCAAGUCGAGCGAUGAUUAAAGAUAGCUUGCUAUUUUUAUGAAGAGCGGCGAACGGGUGAGUAACGCGUGGGGAAUCUGCCGAGUAGCGGGGGACAACGUUUGGAAACGAACGCUAAUACCGCAUAACCAUGAGAAUCGCAUGAUUCUUAUUUGAAAGAAGCAAUUGCUUCACUACUUGAUGAUCCCGCUUUGUAUUAGCUAGUUGGUAGUGUAAAGGACUACCAAGGCGAUGAUACAUAGCCGACCUGAGAGGGUGAUCGGCCACACUGGGACUGAGACACGGCCCAGACUCCUACGGGAGGCAGCAGUAGGGAAUCUUCGGCAAUGGGGGCAACCCUGACCGAGCAACGCCGCGUGAGUGAAGAAGGUUUUCGGAUCGUAAAACUCUGUUGUUAGAGAAGAGCGUUAAGUAGAGUGGAAAAUUACUUAAGUGACGGCAUCUAACCAGAAAGGGACGGCUAACUACGUGCCAGCCGCCGCCGUAA